AUACGUAGGUGGCAAGCGUUGUCCGGAAUUAUUGGGCGUAAAGCGCAUGUAGGCGGUGCCUUAAGUCUGUCGUGAAACUGCGGGGCCUAACCCCGUAUGGCGAUGGAAACUGUGGCACUUGAGUGCAGGAGAGGAAAGGGGAACUCCCAGUGUAGCGGUGAAAUGCGUAGAUAUUGGGAAGAACACCGGUGGCGAAGGCGCCUUUCGGGACUGUGUCUGACGCUGAGAUGCGAAAGCCAGGGUAGCGAACGGGAUUAGAUACCCCGGUAGUCCUGGCCGUAAACGAUGGGUACUAGGUGUGGGAGGUAUCGACCCCUUCCGUGCCGGAGUUAACGCAAUAAGUACCCCGCCUGGGGAGUACGGCCGCAAGGCUUAAACUCAAAUGAAUUGACGGGG
rnacentral:rRNA from 1 species